GCGGAAAUAGGUUAGUUGGUUAGACCAUGGUUCGGAUAAUGCCAAGGUUGCAGGUUUGAUCCCUGUAUGGGACAGCUGCA